rnacentral:rRNA from 1 species
AGAGCAGUCGCCGCGGGAAUACAGAGGGUGCGAGCGUUAAUCGGAUUUACUGGGCGUAAAGCGUGCGUAGGCGGCUUCUUAAGUCGGAUGUGAAAUCCCUGAGCUUAACUUAGGAAUUGCAUUCGAUACUGGGAAGCUAGAGUAUGGGAGAGGAUGGUAGAAUUCCAGGUGUAGCGGUGAAAUGCGUAGAGAUCUGGAGGAAUACCGAUGGCGAAGGCAGCCAUCUGGCCUAAUACUGACGCUGAGGUACGAAAGCAUGGGGAGCAAACAGGAUUAGAUACCCCAGUAGUCCCUGUCUCUUAUAC